GGUGGUACUCAUUUGACACACCCCAGAAUCAGGCUCCCUUCUCUCUGGUUCCUGGUGUAUCACCUGAGAACCGCA
rfam:Myotis lucifugus cont2.3557, whole genome shotgun sequence.